GGAUUUUGCGCAAUGGGGGAAACCUGACGCAGCAACGCCGCGUGAGNUGAUGAAGGCCUUCGGGUCGUAAAGCUCUGUCAGAGGGAAAGAAGNGNACGGUGGUUAAUACCCGCAGUACUUGACGGUACCCUCAAAGGAAGCACCGGCUAACUCCGUGCCAGCAGCCGCGGUAAUACGGAGGGUGCGAGCGUUGUUCGGAAUUAUUGGGCGUAAAGCGCGUGCAGGCGGUCUUUUAAGUCUGAUGUGAAAGCCCCGGGCUCAACCUGGGAAGUGCAUUGGAAACUGGGAGACUUGAAUACGGGAGGGGGCAGUGGAAUUCCUGGUGUAGGAGUGAAAUCCGUAGAUAUCAGGAGGAACACCGGUGGCGAAGGCGGCUGCCUGGACCGAUAUUGACGCUGAGACGCGAAAGCGUGGGGAGCAAACAGGAUUAGAUACCCUGGUAGUCCACGCUGUAAACAAUGAGUACUAAGUGUUGCGGGUAUUGACCCCUGCAGUGCCGCAGCUAACGCAUUAAGUACUCCGCCUGGGAAGUACGGUCGCAAGACUAAAACUCAAAUGAAU
rnacentral:rRNA from 1 species